GGCCGCGCCUGGCUGCCGAGGCCCCGCCCAUUUCCCCGGGUCCUUUGAUCACGCGCCUGCCGGCUCUUCCGGGGCCCCCGAGCCAACCGAGGGCGUUGCUGUCCGGGCUGCAGCGGCGGGAGGGAGCCCACUGGAGGCGCCCUCCCGAGGCACCACGGCCCAUGCUGACCACCCAGCCCUCCGGCUGCCGAUGUCAUGAGUAACACCACAGUGCCCAGUGCCCCCCAGGCCAACAGCGACUCCAUGGUGGGCUAUGUGUUGGGGCCUUUCUUCCUCAUCACCCUGGUUGGGGUGGUGGUGGCUGUGGUGAUGUAUGUGCAGAAGAAGCAGCGGUAAGUAUCCCUGACCCCAGUUCUACUCCUGGCCCCCACCGUGUUCUGCUUACAUUUCUUCCCAUGGGAUUGGAGUUGUCUGUUGUAAGCUGUCCCUCAGCCAUCCUGCUACAAGCCUGAAAUUUGUUUUCCCUGCCCAGCCUCAGUUUACUCACUGGGGAGAGGCCCCUUUAUACAAUCAGGCUUGUAUUUUUUGAGCCACAGUAUGACCCAAAAGGCACCCACUGGAAGUGCCCCUCUGUGGGGUAGGGAGUGGAAACCAGGCAGGCAGGUCUUUGAUGAGGGUCGUGGAGUCCCCUGGGCUGAGCCUCCUCCUUGCU